rnacentral:rRNA from 1 species
CCAAUAGCGUAUAUUAAAGUUGUUGCAGUUAAAAAGCUCGUAGUUGAAUUUUGGAUUCUUCCAAUUGGUCCAUCUUUUAGAUGAGUACUGGUUGUGUGGGGUCUAUCCGCCUGGUGAUACGUAAUGUCCUUUAUUGGGUGUUGCGGGUAGUCAGGACCUUUACCUUGAAAAAAUUAGAGUGUUUAAAGCAGGCUUAUGCCGGAAUACAUUAGCAUGGAAUAAUAGAAUAGGACGAAGUUGUUUUAUUUUGUUGGUUUCUAGGACAACCGUAAUGAUUAAUAGGGAUAGUUGGGGGCAUUAGUAUUCAAUUGUCAGAGGUGAAAUUCUUGGAUUUAUUGAAGACUAACUACUGCGAAAGCAUUUGCCAAGGAUGUUUUCAUUAAUCAAGAACGAAAGUUAGGGGAUCGAAGACGAUCAGAUACCGUCGUAGUCUUAACCAUAAACUAUGCCGACUAGGGAUCGGGCGAUGUUGUUUCCAUGACUCGCUCGGCACCUUAUG